GACAUACCUCUGGUGUACCAGUUGUCGUGCCAACGGCAUAGCUGGGUAGCUAUGUGUGGACGGGAUAAGUGCUGAAAGCAUCUAAGCAUGAAGCCCCCCUCAAGAUGAGAUUUCCCAACUUCGGUUAUAAGAUCCCUCAAAGAUGAUGAGGUUAAUAGGUUCGAGGUGGAAGCAUGGUGACAUGUGGAGCUGACGAAUACUAAUCGAUCGAAGACUUAAUCAAAA
rnacentral:rRNA from 1 species